AACGAACGCUGGCGGCAUGCCUAACACAUGCAAGUCGAACGAGACCUUCGGGUCUAGUGGCGCACGGGUGCGUAACGCGUGGGAAUCUGCCCUUGGGUUCGGAAUAACAGUUAGAAAUGACUGCUAAUACCGGAUAAUGUCUUCGGACCAAAGAUUUAUCGCCCAGGGAUGAGCCCGCGUAGGAUUAGCUAGUUGGUGAGGUAAAGGCUCACCAAGGCGACGAUCCUUAGCUGGUCUGAGAGGAUGAUCAGCCACACUGGGACUGAGACACGGCCCAGACUCCUACGGGAGGCAGCAGUGGGGAAUAUUGGGACAAUGGGCGAAAGCCUGAUCCAGCAAUGCCGCGUGAGUGAUGAAGGCCUUAGGGUUGUAAAGCUCUUUUACCCGGGAUGAUAAUGACAGUACCGGGAGAAUAAGCCCCGGCUAACUCCGUGCCAGCAGCC
rnacentral:rRNA from 1 species